rnacentral:rRNA from 1 species
UACGAAGGGGGCUAGCGUUGCUCGGAUUGACUGGGCGUAAAGGGCGCGUAGGCGGUUCGUACAGUCAGACGCGAAAUUCCUGGGCUCAACCUGGGGGCUGCGUUUGAUACGUGCGGACUUGAGUGCGGAAGAGGGUCGUGGAAUUCCCAGUGUAGAGGUGAAAUUCGUAGAUAUUGGGAAGAACACCGGUGGCGAAGGCGGCGACCUGGUCCGAUACUGACGCUGAGGCGCGAAAGCGUGGGGAGCAAACAGG